GUACACUCCUGCGGGAGGCAGCAGUGGGGAAUUUUGGACAAUGGGCGAAAGCCUGAUCCAGCAAUGCCGCGUGAGUGAAGAAGGCCUUCGGGUUGUACAGCUCUUUUGUCAGGGAAGAAACGGUGAAAGCUAAUAUCUUUUGCUAAUGACGGUACCUGAAGAAUAAGCACCGGCUAACUACGUGCCAGCAGCCGCGGUAAUACGUAGGGUGCAAGCGUUAAUCGGAAUUACUGGGCGUAAAGCGUGCGCAGGCGGUUUUGUAAGUCUGAUGUGAAAUCCCCGGGCUCAACCUGGGAAUUGCAUUGGAGACUGCAAGGCUAGAAUCUGGCAGAGGGGGGUAGAAUUCCACGUGUAGCAGUGAAAUGCGUAGAUAUGUGGAGGAACACCGAUGGCGAAGGCAGCCCCCUGGGUCAAGAUUGACGCUCAUGCACGAAAGCGUGGGGAGCAAACAGGAUUAGAUACCCUUGUAGUCCCA
rnacentral:rRNA from 1 species